UUGAUCCGGAGAUUUCCGAAUGGGGAAACCCAGCAUCUUUUAUAGGAUGUUACUUUUCAGUGAAUACAUAGCUGAUUAGAGGUAGACGCAGAGAACUGAAACAUCUAAGUACCUGCAGGAAGAGAAAGAAAAUUCGAUUCCCUGAGUAGCGGCGAGCGAAACGGGAAAAGCCCAAACCAAGAGGCUUGCCUCUUGGGGUUGUAGGACUCCGAUAUGGUAGUCCAGUGAGAUAGUCGAAGGACCUGGAAAGGUCUGCUAGAAAGGGUAAAAGCCCCGUAGACAAAAUUUGACUGGCACCUAGGAGGAUCCUGAGUACGGCGGAACACGAGGAAUUCCGUCGGAAUCCGGGAGGACCAUCUCCCAAGGCUAAAUACUCCCUAGUGACCGAUAGUGAACCAGUACCGUGAGGGAAAGGUGAAAAGCACCCCGGAAGGGGAGUGAAAUAGAUCCUGAAACCGUGUGCCUACAACAAGUUAGAGCCCGUUAAUGGGUGAUAGCGUGCCUUUUGUAGAAUGAACCGGCGAGUUACGAUUACUUGCGAGGUUAAGUUGAAAAAACGGAGCCGUAGCGAAAGCGAGUCUGAAUAGGGCGAAUGAGUAAGUGGUCGUAGACCCGAAACCAUGUGAUCUACCCAUGUCCAGGUUGAAGGUGCGGUAAAACGCACUGGAGGACCGAACCCACGUACGUUGAAAAGUGCGGGGAUGAGGUGUGGGUAGCGGAGAAAUUCCAAACGAACUUGGAGAUAGCUGGUUCUCUCCGAAAUAGCUUUAGGGCUAGCCUCAGAGUAAGAAUGAUGGAGGUAGAGCACUGUUUGGACUAGGGGCCCAUCUCGGGUUACCGAAUUCAGAUAAACUCCGAAUGCCAUCCAUUCAUCUCUGGGAGUCAGACUGUGAGUGAUAAGAUCCAUAGUCGAAAGGGAAACAGCCCAGACCACCAGCUAAGGUCCCCAAAUAACUAUUAAGUGGAAAAGGAUGUGGGGUUGCACAGACAACUAGGAUGUUGGCUCAGAAGCAGCCACCAUUUAAAGAGUGCGUAAUAGCUCACUAGUCGAGUGACCCUGCGCCGAAAAUGUACCGGGGCUAAAUAGUUUACCGAAGCUGUGGAACACACCAUAAGGUGUGUUGGUAGGAGAGCGUUCUAAGGGCGUUGAAGGUAGAUCGUGAGGACUGCUGGAGCGCUUAGAAGUGAGAAUGCCGGUAUGAGUAGCGAAAGACAGGUGAGAAUCCUGUCCACCGAAUGACUAAGGUUUCCUGGGGAAGGCUCGUCCGCCCAGGGUUAGUCGGGACCUAAGCCGAGGCCGAAAGGCGUAGGCGAUGGAUAACAGGUUGAUAUUCCUGUACCCGUUGUUUUUGUUUGAGCAAUGGAGGGACGCAGGAGGCUAAGGAAUCAGACGAUUGGAAAUGUCUGUCCAAGCAACAAGUCUUGAUGUGAGUCAAAUGCUUACGUCUUCAAGGACAAGUUGUGAUGGGGAGGGAAAUAAUAGUACCGAAGUUCCUGAUGUCACACUGCCGAGAAAAGCUUCUAGUGAGAAAACAAUGGCCCGUACCGCAAACCGACACAGGUAGUCGAGGAGAGAAUCCUAAGGUGAGCGAGAGAACUCUCGUUAAGGAACUCGGCAAAAUGACCCCGUAACUUCGGGAGAAGGGGUGCUGAUCUAACGAUCAGCCGCAGUGAAUAGGCCCAAGCGACUGUUUAUCAAAAACACAGGUCUCUGCAAAAUCGAAAGAUGACGUAUAGGGGCUGACGCCUGCCCGGUGCUGGAAGGUUAAGAGGAGUGCUUAGCGUAAGCGAAGGUACGAAUUGAAGCCCCAGUAAACGGCGGCCGUAACUAUAACGGUCCUAAGGUAGCGAAAUUCCUUGUCGGGUAAGUUCCGACCCGCACGAAAGGCGUAACGAUUUGGGCACUGUCUCAACGAGAGACUCGGUGAAAUUUUAGUACCUGUGAAGAUGCAGGUUACCCGCGACAGGACGGAAAGACCCCAUGGAGCUUUACUGCAGUUUGAUAUUGAGUGUUUGUACCACAUGUACAGGAUAGGUAGGAGCCGUAGAAGUCGGGACGCUAGUUUCGACAGAGGCGCUGGUGGGAUACUACCCCUGUGUUAUGACCACUCUAACCCGCACCACUAAGCGUGGUGGGAGACAGUGUCAGAUGGGCAGUUUGACUGGGGCGGUCGCCUCCUAAAAGGUAACGGAGGCGCCCAAAGGUUCCCUCAGAAUGGUUGGAAAUCAUUCGCAGAGUGUAAAGGCACAAGGGAGCUUGACUGCGAGACCUACAAGUCGAGCAGGGACGAAAGUCGGGCUUAGUGAUCCGGUGGUUCCGCAUGGAAGGGCCAUCGCUCAACGGAUAAAAGCUACCCUGGGGAUAACAGGCUUAUCUCCCCCAAGAGUCCACAUCGACGGGGAGGUUUGGCACCUCGAUGUCGGCUCGUCGCAUCCUGGGGCUGUAGUCGGUCCCAAGGGUUGGGCUGUUCGCCCAUUAAAGCGGCACGCGAGCUGGGUUCAGAACGUCGUGAGACAGUUCGGUCCCUAUCCGUCGCGGGCGUUGGAAAUUUGAGAGGAUCUGUCCUUAGUACGAGAGGACCGGGAUGGACUUACCGCUGGUGUACCAGUUGUCUCGCCAGAGGCAUCGCUGGGUAGCUAUGUAGGGAAGGGAUAAACGCUGAAAGCAUCUAAGUGUGAAGCCCACCUCAAGAUGAGAUUUCCCAUUUCUUUAAGAAAGUAAGAUCCCUGAGAGAUGAUCAGGUAGAUAGGUCAGAAGUGGAAGUGCAGUGAUGUACGGAGCGGACUGAUACUAAUCGAUCGAGGACUUAACCAA
rnacentral:rRNA from 1 species